CAGCCGCCGCGGGAAUACGUAGGGUGCAAGCGUUAAUCGGAAUUACUGGGCGUAAAGCGUGCGCAGGCGGUUAUAUAAGACAGAUGUGAAAUCCCCGGGCUCAACCUGGGAACUGCAUUUGUGACUGUAUAGCUAGAGUACGGCAGAGGGGGAUGGAAUUCCGCGUGUAGCAGUGAAAUGCGUAGAUAUGCGGAGGAACACCGAUGGCGAAGGCAAUCCCCUGGGCCUGUACUGACGCUCAUGCACGAAAGCGUGGGGAGCAAACAGGAUUAGAUACCCGGGUAGUCCCUGUCUCUUAUCC
rnacentral:rRNA from 1 species